UGACUUAACUUACGUAGGCCCUCCCUGAAAGCUCCUGAAACAGAAUUUCUUUUCAUCUCAGGAUCUCUUCUUAAGUCAAGAAGAUGUUUUUAAAAUAAGCUUGAUGCUGAUGGGCAACCAGAUUUCAGAGUUUCUCAUCUAAAUCUUCUGUACCUCAGUGCCUCCAUCUAUAAGAUGUGGUUCAAUGCCUACCCGCCUUUCUUUGAAGAUAUACCAACUCUUCUUGGUCACAGAUUCUUAGAAGAACCAGACAGAAGUGGAUAGGAUUUCCCAGGGGAAAUCAGAGUGAGGAACAAUAAAUGUGAGUAAAGAUUAUUGCUCAAGAGUGGCUUUUGACAUACAUGGCAUCAGAGAAGAACCUGAAUUGAAAUAGAAACCAGGCAGAAAAGGAGGCCAUCUGUUCUACCUAGUAUCACCUGGCAUAUAGUAUCCCCACCAACAGGGGUAAGCACUGCAGGAAAAAAUUCUACCACCAGAAGCUUUGCAACUCCAAAAGCAGCGUUGUAUGGGACAAGGUGCCAAGAUUAUCUACAAGAUAAUUUCAGAGCAGAGAGAUGUUGGAGGAGGAUUUUAGAAAAAUACUUGAGAAUGCCAGAACAGACCAAAGCUCCAACAGAUCACAGAAGUACCUGGCAAAGGGCCCCAUGGCAAGGGACCUCUGAAGACCUGCACAUUGAGGAGAAGGUGUCUCUCCUUGACCACUCUCCAGCUGGCAGUGCCUUUAACAUCCUCAGGUACCAGCCUAGAUACCACAUGCUUCAUUCAGAAAGCUUUCCUCACCGCCCAGGUUUUGGCAGAUUGCCUCUUGUGUUUCCACGGCAUCUUGCCUUCACUUGUCACAGCACUAGUCUUGCUGUGUUCAAGUCAGCUGUUGUGUGUUUGGAUUCAUGUGGCUGUGGAUUCAAAAUGGACAUAGAGGAUUCCGGGUUGACCAUGUGGCCGCAACAUGGGUUUUGGUACCCAGCAGCAGCUAUACUGCUCAGAUGGGCUCUGGUAGAAAUCUGGGCAGCAGAAGAUGGGUCCUCCAUGAGCAUGGAGAAGGCACUGCUGCAGCUGGAGCACAGAGCACCAAGAAGGAGCAAGCUUUUGCUGGCAGAGUUGGAUGGCAUUUCUGGCUAUGAGAAGUACAUACCACGUCCCUGA
rnacentral:lncRNA from 1 species